UGGGUUCCUAUGAGGUACAGAGCAAGUAC
rnacentral:piRNA from 1 species